UGUGACCAACCACAGAAGACCUCCUGA
rnacentral:piRNA from 1 species